UACGGUAGGGGGCAAGCGUUGUCCGGAAUCAUUGGGCGUAAAGAGCGUGUAGGCGGCCCGGUAAGUCCGCUGUGAAAGUCGAGGGCUCAACCCUCGAAUGCCGGUGGAUACUGUCGGGCUUGAGUACGGGAGAGGCGAGUGGAAUUCCUGGUGUAGCGGUGAAAUGCGCAGAUAUCAGGAGGAACACCGAUUGCGAAGGCAGCUCGCUGGAACGUUACUGACGCUGAGACGCGAAAGCGUGGGGAGCAAACAGG
rnacentral:rRNA from 1 species